GAUGAACGCUGGCGGCGUGCCUAAUACAUGCAAGUCGAGCGAACGGACGAGAAGCUUGCUUCUCUGAUGUUAGCGGCGGACGGGUGAGUAACACGUGGAUAACCUACCUAUAAGACUGGGAUAACUUCGGGAAACCGGAGCUAAUACCGGAUAAUAUUUUGAACCGCAUGGUUCAAAAGUGAAAGACGGUCUUGCUGUCACUUAUAGAUGGAUCCGCGCUGCAUUAGCUAGUUGGUAAGGUAACGGCUUACCAAGGCAACGAUGCAUAGCCGACCUGAGAGGGUGAUCGGCCACACUGGAACUGAGACACGGUCCAGACUCCUACGGGAGGCAGCAGUAGGGAAUCUUCCGCAAUGGGCGAAAGCCUGACGGAGCAACGCCGCGUGAGUGAUGAAGGUCUUCGGAUCGUAAAACUCUGUUAUUAGGGAAGAACAUAUGUGUAAGUAACUGUGCACAUCUUGACGGUACCUAAUCAGAAAGCCACGGCUAACUACGUGCCAGCAGCCGCGGUAAUACGUAGGUGGCAAGCGUUAUCCGGAAUUAUUGGGCGUAAAGCGCGCGUAGGCGGUUUUUUAAGUCUGAUGUGAAAGCCCACGGCUCAACCGUGGAGGGUCAUUGGAAACUGGAAAACUUGAGUGCAGAAGAGGAAAGUGGAAUUCCAUGUGUAGCGGUGAAAUGCGCAGAGAUAUGGAGGAACACCAGUGGCGAAGGCGACUUUCUGGUCUGUAACUGACGCUGAUGUGCGAAAGCGUGGGGAUCAAACAGGAUUAGAUACCCUGAUAGUCCACGCCGUAAACGAUGAGUGCUAAGUGUUAGGGGGUUUCCGCCCCUUAGUGCUGCAGCUAACGCAUUAAGCACUCCGCCUGGGGAGUACGACCGCAAGGUUGAAACUCAAAGGAAUUGACGGGGACCCGCACAAGCGGUGGAGCAUGUGGUUUAAUUCGAAGCAACGCGAAGAACCUUACCAAAUCUUGACAUCCUUUGACAACUCUAGAGAUAGAGCUUUCCCCUUCGGGGGACAAAGUGACAGGUGGUGCAUGGUUGUCGUCAGCUCGUGUCGUGAGAUGUUGGGUUAAGUCCCGCAACGAGCGCAACCCUUAAGCUUAGUUGCCAUCAUUAAGUUGGGCACUCUAAGUUGACUGCCGGUGACAAACCGGAGGAAGGUGGGGAUGACGUCAAAUCAUCAUGCCCCUUAUGAUUUGGGCUACACACGUGCUACAAUGGACAAUACAAAGGGCAGCGAAACCGCGAGGUCAAGCAAAUCCCAUAAAGUUGUUCUCAGUUCGGAUUGUAGUCUGCAACUCGACUACAUGAAGCUGGAAUCGCUAGUAAUCGUAGAUCAGCAUGCUACGGUGAAUACGUUCCCGGGUCU
rnacentral:rRNA from 1 species